CAGGUCCUACGGGACGCAGCAGUGAGGAAUAUUGGUCAAUGGGCGCGAGCCUGAACCAGCCAAGUAGCGUGAAGGAUGACUGCCCUACGGGUUGUAAACUUCUUUUAUAAAGGAAUAAAGUGAGGCACGUGUGCCUUUUUGUAUGUACUUUAUGAAUAAGGAUCGGCUAACUCCGUGCCAGCAGCCGCGGUAAUACGGAGGAGCCGAGCGUUAUCCGGAUUUAUGGGGUUUAAAGGGAGCGUAGAUGGGUUGUUAAGUCAGUUGUGGAAGUUUGCGGCUCAACCGGAAAAUUGCAUUUGAUAGUG
rnacentral:rRNA from 1 species